rnacentral:rRNA from 1 species
GUGAAGCCCAGCUUGCUGGGUGGAUCAGUGGCGAACGGGUGAGUAACACGUGAGCAACCUGCCCUCCACUUCGGGAUAAGCCUUGGAAACGGGGUCUAAUACCGGAUAUGAGCGCCUGCCGCAUGGUGGGUGUUGGAAAGUUUUUCGGUGGGGGAUGGGCUCGCGGCCUAUCAGCUUGUUGGUGGGGUGAUGGCCUACCAAGGCUUCGACGGGUAGCCGGCCUGAGAGGGCGACCGGCCACACUGGGACUGAGACACGGCCCAGACUCCUACGGGAGGCAGCAGUGGGGAAUAUUGCACAAUGGGCGCAAGCCUGAUGCAGCGACGCCGCGUGAGGGAUGACGGCCUUCGGGUUGUAAACCUCUUUCAGCAGGGAAGAAGCGCAAGUGACGGUACCUGCAGAAGAAGCGCCGGCUAACUACGUGCCAGCAGCCGCGGUAAUACGUAGGGCGCAAGCGUUGUCCGGAAUUAUUGGGCGUAAAGAGCUCGUAGGCGGUCUGUCGCGUCUGGUGUGAAAACCCGAGGCUCAACCUCGGGCUUGCAUCGGGUACGGGCAGACUAGAGUGCGGUAGGGGAGACUGGAAUUCCUGGUGUAGCGGUGGAAUGCGCAGAUAUCAGGAGGAACACCGAUGGCGAAGGCAGGUCUCUGGGCCGCAACUGACGCUGAGGAGCGAAAGCAUGGGGAGCGAACAGGAUUAGAUACCCUGGUAGUCCAUGCCGUAAACGUUGGGCCACUACGUGUGGGGCUCAUUUCCACGAGUUUCCGUGCC